GCUUCUCAUGGGGGAAAUGUCUCAAAUAC
rnacentral:piRNA from 1 species